UUUUUUUUUUUGUUUACUUAAGUGAAGCGUUCGAAGUUGAGAUCGCUAACUUACACUUUUUUUCCUCUGAUCUAAUAGACACACUUAAGUAUACUCACUUUCAAUCAACUUUAGUGUGAUUAACAUUUGUGCUAUCUUCAAAUUUUCUAUAUUUAAAGCAUAAGGAGGGGAUUUGGUAUUAAAUUUCAUGUCAUCUCUUAGAUUUUCAAUUUUACCCUUACAAAAGUAAAGAUUUACUAAAGAUAACUAGUUUAAGUUUAGUAAGUUUUAAUAACUUCCACUUCUAGUAACUUCUAUUUUUUUGGUUUGUUUGCCUAUAAAAAAUCAUAACUUCUUUUUUUAUUUGUCAACAAAAAAUUCAAAUACCUUUUGUUGGUUUUGACAAAAACAACUAAUUUUUAUCGUAAUUUGUACACCCAUAGGAUGUGCUUUUCUCACUAAUACAAAUAAAAGUAAAGUUUCUUGAGUAGUCUUUAGAUUUGUGAUAUACAUUGAUGAAGAACUUAUUCAUUGUUUUACGAAACGCCGCUACAAUUGAUUGGUGGUUUCUACAAUGUACACGUUUUAAUUUGAUUAAAUUUUGAUUAAAAGAAGUCACUGUUCAUUUUUUUUUCCCUUCAAACAAAGAAGUCAAUUAGACUUCCAUGUCUAAUCUCCUUUUGGGAUUUCUAAAUUCUACAGUUGUAAUGGUUCUACUAGUAGUAGUUUUCCGAUUUGACGUUUUCGGUCAUUGCCUUAUGUCAAGUCAAGGAUUUUCUUAUCUUCAGAUUCCAAAAUUUCUGAAUUGUUUCAUGUUCAGCAUAAUUUUUAUUAACAUCAAAAUUAUCAUGAAUUAAUAAUGAUUACUCAUCGGACUUGAAAUGAUUGCAAGUUAUUUCAAAUUUAAACAUGUAGAGAAAAUAUACAAAGGUUUUGAGACUUUUCGUCUAUUUGAGUUUAAUAAUCCUGCUAAAGCAAUGUAUAUGUCUUUUGAGUUUUCUUUCAUAUACAUUGACAUACUUUAUAGAGACCAACAUACUGGGUUAAAGCGGAAUGUAUAUUGACGAUAUUUCACCAGUUGUUGGACAUAUGAAAACUUAUACUUUUUGUCAAACAAGUGAAAAUGUAAUAUAUUUCUGCACCAAACUGUACCUCUUGUAUUUUCCAAAAUAGUUCUAAAAAAAUCUAAAACAAUCUAUGCGAAUAUAUUUGUUGGUGAGAACAGUUUAUAAGCUAUGUAAACAAUUCAUUAAAUUCAAUUCAAUGCCUAACAUUUUUUUCCUUCUUUGUACCUCUACUGUUACGAAAUUAUUAUUACCUUAUUUAUGUAUCCAUGAAUCUUUUUCAUAUUUUUCAUGCAAUUUAUUAGAUUCCUUUCUCUAUAUCUUUCAAAUAACACAAUAAUAGAAAAUUGAACAGAAUUUUGCUAUAAUGGCCAUCCAAGAUAUUGCCCUUUCAAUUGUGGGAAAAAUUGCAGAGAAGUGUGUCGAUCCAAUUUUGCGCCAAUUUCAGUACUUAAUUUUCUACAAAAGCAACGUUCAAACUCUGAGCGAUGACAUCAAAAUACUUGAGCUAAAGGAAGCUGAGGUGCAACAAUUGGUACGUCAAGCAAAAGACAAUGCUGAAGAAAUUAAACCAACUGUUGUUGAUUGGCUGAAACGAGUUGAGGAUGUCAAGAAAGAUGCGCACACUAUUUCUGAGGGUAUGGAGACUGCUAAGGUGAAUUGCUUGAAUAUUGUCAGGCUUCCGAAUUUGAAGUCAUGCUAUUUGCUAGGCCGACGUGCGGUGAAAAGAAAGAGUGCUCUUGAAAAGCUUUUAGGAGAGGGGAAUUUUGAUAAAGUUGGAAGCAUUGCUCCAUUAGGCAAAAUGCGUUUUAGUGAAUCAACCCCAUCCUUAGAGGAAGGCUUAGUUUCUAGGAUGUCAACAAAGAAGGAAGUGAUGGAAGCUUUAAAGCAGGAGAAAACUAGCCUAAUGGCGAUUUGUGGUAUGGGCGGCAUAGGCAAGACUACUCUAGUCAAACAAAUUGCUGACCAGGUUAAGUUCGAGAAAUUGUUUGAUGAAGUCGCCAUGGCAAUCGUGUCUCAAAGUCUAGACAUGAGAAUUGUCCAAGAUCAACUUGCUGAGCAGUUAGGGCUGAAGAUAACAGAGCAAACUGAUCGUGCCAGAGCUGAAAGAUUGUGUACGAUACUAACUGGUCGUGACAAGAGAAUUCUUGUUAUAUUGGAUGACAUUUGGAAAGAAGUUGGUUUUGAGAGUCUAGGAAUUCCCGUCAAAGGUGAAUGCAAGAGCUUAAAAGUUAUACUGACAUCUCGAUCCUCAGAUGUUUGUAGGGGCAUGGGAGCUGAAAUUUUUGAGGUGCAUGCCUUGCGUAAAGAAGAAGCAUGGCAUCUUUUUAAAGAGGUUGCAGAAAUUUCUGAUGAUUCUGCUUUGAGUGGUGUUGCAAAGCAAGUUGCAGAGGAAUGCAAAGGUCUACCUCUUGCAAUCGUUGUUGUUGCCCGGGCAUUAAAGGGCAAUCAUACUCCAGAAUCCUGGGAUCGUGCCCUUCGGCAACUAAAAGAGUACACAAUUAGAGAACUAGAAGGAGAUGAAGAUUUAGUGUUUUCAAGAAUUAAGUUUAGCUAUGACUAUUUAAAAAGCGCUGAAGCUAAGUCAUUACUUUUGCUUUGCAGUUUGUUUCCAGAGGAUUAUAGUAUUCCAAUCGAAUGUUUGGUUAGGUAUGGUAAAGGGCUAGAAUUGUUCCCAGAUAGACGGAGGUUAGUAGAUGUAAGAGACAAGGUAGACACGCUUAUUGGUCACCUGAAAAGCUCCUAUUUGUUGCUAAAUGAUGCUAAAAAAGAAGACUCUGUAAAACUGCACGAUGUCGUGCGAGAUGUGUGCUUGUCAAUUGCAUCAAAAGACGAGCAUGAGUUCUUAGUGAGCAAUUCUGGAGUGGGAGAAAAGAAUUCUUACACUGCAAUUUCGAUAAUAUCGCAAGAUUGCAAUCAUGAUCUACUUCCAUUUUGCAAGGAAUAUCCAAGGCUUAGGCUGUUGUGUUUGGUAUUCCGAUUUGGGAAAUUGAACCUACCAAGAGACUCUUUUGUAGGAAUGGAAACUCUCAGGGUCAUGGAACUAAACCACUCGCAAAUUGAAUUUCCACUAUCAUGGCCUGGCCAAAUGCUAAGGAGCCUUCGGACACUGUGCCUGGAUGAUUGUGUAUUGGGCACUGGAUUGUCGUCAAUGCUUGGACACAUGACGCAGCUGGAAACUUUGAGCCUCUUUGAAUCCAAAAUUCUGGAUGAUCAGUUUCCAGCUGAAAUCGGUCAGUUGAGUAAUUUAAAGUUGUUGGAUUUGAGGGUCAAAAGUAGCCUCCAUCCCUUGCCUAGUGGUAUCUUGUCAAGCUUGAAGAAACUAGAAGAAUUGUAUUUGGGAUCUGGUGAUCAUUUGCGGCUAGGGAGAGAUAAAGAAGAGGAAAAAAGAUGCCUUAAAGAGAUCUCAUCAAUCUCUAAUCUUGCAUGUCUCCAGAUUGCUUUGUAUGACCUUAGCCUCCUACUUCUAUCUUUGCAAGAAUUUGAUACUCAGAGGUUGUUAAGAUUUGACAUUGCAGUAAAUGAUUCUGAAAGAGCACUGGCAUUUCACAGCAAAACCUAUCAAUUUCGGAAAAGCUUCAAGCUUUAUCUGUCAGAUCAUGGUGAUGAAGGGUUGAAACAACUUUUUGACCCCAAUGUUACUAGCAUUGUCAAGAGAACUGAGAAUCUCAUUUUACGUCUUUCUGAAUCAUCAUGCUUGAGGAAUCUUGUGCCUGACUUGGGUGAAAACGGGUUCAUCAAUUUGAAAAAGCUUUAUCUAGACCGUGGACAAUAUGAAUGCCUUAUUUAUUCUACUGCCAACCUUGUUGCCCGACAUGUUUUUGAAAAUUUGGUGUCCAUGGAGUUACUAAGGUUGGAGUUGAAAGAAAUAUGUAAGGGAUUUCUUCCACCUGGGUGCUUCAGUCAACUUCAAGAGGUGAGAUUUUUUAGAAUAAGUGCUUUAGAGUGCUUGUGGAAGGGACCGGUCGAAUCUCCGUCGCUUUGCAACCUCAGAUCUAUUGAAGUACAAGAUUGUGCUCAAAUUACAACUCUCUUCUCACAAUCAGCACUGAAAUGUCUGGUGAAACUCCAAAAGAUAGGCGUAUUUAGUUGUGAAAAUUUGGAGAGAAUUGUUCUGAGGGAGGAAAGUCUGACAGAGGAGGUGCUUGAGCUACCCCAACUCAAAGCGUUAACCUUACGCUUUACAAAAUUUAUUGGUUUUGGCCCUGAAGAUGAUAAAGCUGUGGCUUUCUUUGACCAGGUCUGUCUUCUCUCUCUCUCUCUCUUAGUUUGUGAAAUUAUAUGAUAUACUUAAUAUAGUUGAAUUCAGGUGAACACCGAAAACACACUUGAAUAUGCACUUUCUUUCUCAAUAUGUUAAUUAUAUUUUCAAAAUUAAUAAUGUUUCAUCAGUUAAUGUGAUGCGGAAUUUCUAAUGUUGACUGCUGUAAAGGUAAAACUAAUGUUCCAAAUUGACCUGUUUGUACGAUUCAUAUUAAUUAAUGUCAGUCAAUUCACAUACAGAUGUACUGACUAUUAAAUUGUGGUGGAAGUGAAUUUGAAGGUUGUAUGUAACUAACUAGUACCACUCCCUAGUGUUUGUUACAAUUAUUCAUGGUAGUUAUUAGUGAUUAUUUAAUUGUAAUAAAGACAGCUUGUGACGAUUUAAGGUUAGAUGUGAUAAACUAAUUCGGAUACUCUUCAGCCGAUGAAGCCCCCAAACAAAAAACAAAAAAAAAAGGUUAAAAAACAGUAAUUAAAAGAAAAAAAAAUAGGGUUGUUUGUUGUAGUACUAGUAAUUAAAAGUCUAGUGAUGAUGAAUAAAAAUAGGGUAAUAAAAAUAUUGACAACAAUAAUUUUGGUGUUCCAGUGACGUGUUGGUGUGUCUGUCACGUCAUCAAGCGUAACAAAUAGAUUGCUAGCAGCUGGAUGGAUCCGAACACUACUGUAACUGCACGUUGCAUUUUGCAUUAUGGGCCUAAGUUUGCCAAACUUUUCAGGUUUCACUCCCCCGCCUGGAAGUACUAGAGAUUAAUAAUCCUGGUGAUGGCCCCGAACAACUAAUAGGAGGGAAAAUGCCUAGUGGGUCCCUCGACAACUUAAAAUCUGUGCAACUUUGGGAAUGUCGCUCUAUCCGAUGCAUUGCCAAAGGUGAUACAGUUACAUUAUUACAAAACUUGCAAGCACUUCUCAUGUGGAAUUGUCAUGGGAUGGAAUCAUUUGUCAACUUUGAGGGUCUAAAAGUUCAUAAUACUCCAUCAGAAAAGGCAUUUGAAAUUCUUCCCAAACUAGAGUCACUGCACUUGUGUGGCUGUGCAAGCUUCAUCUCUAUUUGGAGGAAUUUUCCUGAAGGGGUUCGAGUAUUCCAAAACUUGAGAAGUCUAAAAGUAGUAAACUGCACUUUAUAUUGUUUGUUUUAUCCUCCUUGCAUGGCUAACAUGCUCAUAAGUCUUGAGGCACUUGAAGUUUCUGUGUGCUCAAAAAUGUGUGAAGUUAUAGGUGAGGAAGAUGAAGAGAUCAGCCAAGAAGAUAAUACUCGGCAUCAUGAUGUUGGAAAACGUAGAGAAAUUGCACUGGAAAGAACUAGCAAGGAGUUCGUGUUUCCUAGAUUAAGUUUUUUGCGGUUGGCAUUCCUUGAGAAUCUUCGAAACUUCGGUGGUAGUCACCGGGAGGAUUAUGAGUUCAAAUUUCCCCUACUCACUAACUUGAUCAUAGAGAGUUGCCCAAUGUUGAAGAAAUUCUGUUCCGGAAAUUUGGAUGCACCGUUGCUUAAGAAAAUCCAAACAACGUCGAGAGAUGUAGAGAAUUUUGAAGCUCCCGUGGAUUUAAAGGUACUAAUAUCCUAACUCUAUUUUCAACCAAUCCUUUUAAUUUUGUCUCACUUAACUAGACUUAUUUCCCUAAGGGUCGAGAAUGUAUAUUUUGAAUAAUUAUUGCUGAGCAUAUUAUAUUUUACAGGAUCGAAAGAUUUGUAAAAUUACAGCGUAUAAUAAGGUAUAAUAAGGUACGUGCCUUUUUAUAUGCUUACAAACUUUAUCUUUUCCCUUUCUUUAUAAUUACAAGCCGCAAUAUGUAUACUUUUGAUCUAUAUGAAUAAAUCAAUGAACGGUAUUACAUGAUUAUGGAAUAUCAUUGAUUACAAAGCUAUACGAACUCUCACGGAAUUUUCCAUUUGGAUGUUGAGGUAAACACCAUUCUAUAUGCUUACAAACUUUAUGUUUUUCCUUUCUUCUAAUUUUGUCUUUACGUUUUUUUUUUUCAUUUUUUUUGAGGUGAAUGGAACUUUUGAUCUUCUAUUAAUCAAUCAGAUUCUAUUCUCAUGUAGCAUUAUUCAUUGAUUCUUACUAUCUAUGAACUAUACUUCUAUAUUGAGUUUGUAUUGUAGGUUUUCUUAUCAACUUUUUUUAAUCUAAACAUUACUAUUUCAGAGUAAAAGAUGUUAAAUCUUGUUUCUGUUUUGGUUUUGCUUAUAUUUCUUGCGAUGUAUGCAUUUUUAUGAAUUAUUCUUCUUUUCAUUUUUUUGAAAAUAAUUUCCACUGUGAAAAAUUACAGCCUUUAUAUCUCAGCUUUCAAAGCUCCAAUCUCUUCAAAGAUAUAAAGUUGAAUGUUCCAUGUAGGAAUCAGGGGGAAAAAAAUCCAGAGUAGAGAAAGCGAAAAAUAAACUGGAGCUACACAAACCUGGUGUCAAAUUGAUGUGGGAACUCCAAUGUAUUAUACCAUCUAUAUUUGUUUUGGACAUUAUGACAGAGUUAUAAUAUUCAUGCCUCUGUUUUCUGUCACAGAAUGUUGUGGGAACCAUCAAGUUGAUCGAAUAAUGUGGUCUAGUUACCACAGUCUUGACUGAACUGGUGGAUUGGGCUAUCAGAUAUGGAUGGAGAUCUUAACACACAUGGUUAAUACUAUAAGUGUGGAACUUAUAUAAGUUUUGUGUGCUUGCUUUUGUCAUUGAUAUUCAAAUAAUAAGCAUAUUGUAUGUAUGUAAUGUAUCAUGACUAUCAAAUAAUAAAUGCAUUGUAUGUAUCAUAUCAUGGACUUUAAACAAAAAGAAUGAAGCUUUUUUUUCCUGUGGAUCUAAAGGUACAUACAUACAUCCUAAUUCUCCUGACAAUUCUUUUUUGGAUGAUCGGUGAGGCUAAGAUCAUUGUAAUCUUCCUUGAACAUUCUGAUGAAUGUCUUGGCUCCCAUCAUGAUUAGUCUCUCUACCAUAAAGAGUUGAUAUUUGUUUUCAAUUACUGGAUUCAAGAUGCUGCUGCAGUUUGAUGAGUAUGCCAAGUUGUACACAGUGCAAUCCAUCCAUGUUGAACUCUUCUUGUUCAAUCUAUGCAACAAAAUUACAGAAGUCGUGAAGACAAUAAAAAUCAAACACUAGUUGAACAACAUAAAAUUUUUACUAGAUCUAAACAACAUAGCGAGGAUUGCUAGAUCUCUUCGUGAGAAACUUGGAGCUUGAGAUAUAUCAGAUAGGUGAUAUAGAGAAAAAUAAGGAAAACAAGGAUGGGAAAUUAAUCUUACCAUAUGUAUUUAUUUACAGUGUAGUCGCACAGUCAUAUUCAAAUAAAAAAAAAAACCAAAUAUGGCUGAUUUAGCACAAACCGUAAAUUUGGUUGAGAAGAACUCCAAGAUCAAACGCACUCCAUUAAUUGUAAACCACACAAACAAAUACAAAGAAGAAAGGACAAUUUUCUAGUCUUCCAACCCAUAUGAUGUCCUGAUCAGGAAAUGUUAAACCAAACAGGAAAGAUUAACAUUACUAAAUCACUUACAAUACAGUCAAAGGAGUAUUUGUACAUUAGAUAACCAUGAGAAAAGACACAAAAGGGUAAUGAUACUUUUCCUGAGUAGCUUAGCACAACCAAGCUACAAUUCAAGAGGAAAAAUUUUCCACCUAAAAAGUGACUCCUGGCAGAAAGAAAAUUGACACAAGGAACGGUAUUAGAACUCAUAAAACUACCAAGGCAAAAAAAUUUAUCUAAAUAUUUGACAAGUAAAAGGCCUUUUUCUUUUUCUUUUCUUUUUUUUCAAGGGGGGUUUGCAAAGGAUAUACAAAAUUUUGAUCUACUGUUACUCCCAAGAUGACAAUCAUAUAAAGUUCAGAAGGAUCAGAGUGGAAGGUAAUAUACCUUGAGGCAAGAUGGGCAAGAUGGUCCUCUCAUUUGAAGCAAUAAAAAAGGUUUGUUCUGUGGGACCCAUUUUGCAAUUCUGCAGGAAAUAAAUUCUUGACGGGUAUCCCCAUCAAGAUAAGGAUACCAAGACCGAUCAAUGCCGAACCUAUCCUUAUGAGUUUUCAAUUUAUCACCUCAUCUGACAUGGAUAGCAUCACAAUCACCAGGAAGCACCUUAAUCUGUACAAAUAACAAUGGGAAACCUCACCAAUCAUAUUAAAUGUCAAUCACUUAAAAACAGAAAAUUUUAAAGCAAAGCAAUGUUAUAACUGACUGCAAUAGAACACUAGCCAUUCGAAAGCAUCAAUGAUGUCAUAUUAGAGCUUUUGGCUCACAUAAAGAAGGUAUUGAAACAGGUGCCCACAUAUGGAUGACAUUUGACCACAAUUAGGCAAAGUGACAGAUGAACCAAACAUGCGUAUGAAACUUCUCUAAAUACAUGUAGAACACAAAGGUACACCCAAAACUUUUUUUGGUACACACUCUUGACUCUCCAACUGUAAAUGCAACACCAACCAAUGAUCAGCACCUCUGACAAAAAUGGUUUGGGGCAUACACAAACAGCUAGCAGAAAAGAAUGGUUCUGAAACAAAAAGAAACUCACUGUCAUAUUUGAACACCAAGGUUCAUUCUCAGAUCUCCUAUCAAAUAUUCAAGCCCUACACUGUGCACCAAAAUUAUAAUCAACCAACCAACCAAAGGAGCCCACUAAUAAAGCAUGCAGCAGCAGUGAAAUGGCAAGCCUUCUUGUACAAAUUUCAAGUGUAACUCACAAGCACAAUACAGUCUCUCUGUGUGGUGAAUUAUCACCCUCAUCUAUAUGAUUAAGCCAUAUAAAAGAAAGAAAUUACUUAUCAAGGACUCUCACUUGCCCCUUGACAUGUAUGCUGGACUUCUUUCAACGCAAAGAGCACGUGACGCACCUAUUACGAGUGGUGCCAAACAUUAACAGAGAACCUGUGCUUACCCUGACACUAGUGUUCAUUUACAUAUGUAGAAGCUUCAACUGUCAGACAGGAAAAGGAAAUAUUAUUUUUUCUAAAAAAAAUUAAAAGUUCACAACUUGUUUACCAAAAGUGACAAUGCACCUUACAACUAAUUGCAGUAGUCAAGCUUUUAUGACAUUAAUGUUUACCCUGCCAGGGAGUGGUGAAUGGUAGAAAUAAUCAGUCUUCUUAAAGUCCCAUCACCAAAAUGACUACAAAAGGGGAACAUAUUUCAAACUUCUUGUAGAAGCACCAACCAGAAAUCUUCCAAUGGGAAUAGCAACUUUACGUAUCAUUAAGAUAUCAUGACCAGUUUUUCCAAACAAGAUCCACAGUAUUCUCAACAUCAAGUUUACUACAAGCCCGGGUUCUACUCUUUUCAAUAAUCCAAACUAUGAUAGUCAACUCAAGAAAGCAACGAUACAUUUGCAGUGUGCAAAUAAUGUAACGAGCAUAUAAAUUUUGGCUACCAAACAUAAGGACAACUUAUCGACUAUCUUCCCCAUAAUACUGAGCAAAACACAUUUAUGCAAGGACAUUAUUAUGUGUCACAUAUAUGGCAAGACCAUUGUGUUCCCAUAUUUGACAGAACCUUUUUUCUUUCCUCUUUUUUUUUUUUGAUUUGUUUUGUUUAGUUUUGUUUCUGUCUGUUCUUUUCCUCUUCAGCUAUAGGAGAGGAAGGAAAGGGGAAAACUCAUGGCAAUAAUUCCCCGUAUCAAAAAAGUUCACACCAUAUAUAGCACCUUCAAGAGAUCAUCAACAGAAAUAUAUGCAAUGCUCCUAUCAUGUCCAAAUUAGAUUAGCAAGAACAUGGAAAAAUAAGGUUGUGUUUGGAUUGCAUUUUCCGUCAUUUUUCAUGGAAAAAUUACUGUAGCGAUUUGAUAUAUGUGAGGGAAAAAGGUAAUAGGGAAAUGUGAUCACGGAAAACGAUAAUAUUUUCCGACGAAAACCUUCAAUCCAAGCAAAGCCUAAAUUGCCACAUUGUAAUUGUACAUUUACAAAAAUGACCAAAAUCAACUUAGAGUACAUAAUGGAUAUAAUAGUGUGUUUGGAUAGUAGAUUAUUUGGGAUAAUUUUUUGAAAAACUACUGUAGCACUUUUUUGAUGUGAUUUAUGUGAGAUAAAAAGGUGGUUGAAAAAUGUGUUGAUGAUGCAAGAAAAUAAAUUUUGGCAAAUAAUUCACUAUCCAAAUAAACCAUAUAUUAUAAUGCAUCAAAUUUAAAAAUCAAGAAUGGCUAACAUACAGAGUUUGAAAGUUGGAACAACUCUUAAUUUCUUGAUGGGCUCUUUGAAGACCUUCAAAAUCAAAAAUCAACCGAUCGACAUUUUUUACAUCCACUUUUAGACAAUAAUGAAGUUAGUUUUCAGCCUAAAUGUAAGCUUGUAAUUAAGCUUACUUACACAAUUUACAAGAACCAAUGAAGGCAGCGCUCUCAGACAAUUAAGAGACUCCAAUUAGUUAGUAGACUCUGAACGAGUAUUAGUUGAUAUAAAACUUGUCAUAAACAAUUAAAGUACCAAGAGGGCUAGAAUUAGACCAAAAAAGACUUCUUGAUUAUUUAACUAACCCGAUGGUGGGAAUUUUUCCAAAGCAACCUGAAUUGCUUCAGUCUAAAGCUCACAUUUAAAGAGAAGUUUAUUCUUCUUUAUCUACAAGCCACCUGACUCUCAGGUUAGAGCCAAGAAGUGGUCCGAUUUUUACAUCAUAGGCAGCUAUAGUGCAAACUUUAGAAUCAUGUCAUUCCAAGGUCUAAAGCUCGCACUGUGUACUUGAGACCACGAAACAAGACCCCAAAACAACUCAACAAAUGAUUAGAAAAGUAUAUUACAAAUAAAAGAAGGAAAAAAAGAAAAACUUAAAACUCCAGAAUAUAGCCUCCACUUAAUUAUGUUUUAGCCUGUUGCUAAACUUAAGUAUCAUAAACAUGAGUGGGUAAGGUCCUGCUUUGUCAAACACUUGAAAACAUUACCAUGAUAAGUGGGUAAGUUAAAAACAAAAUAGCAAGGCAAACUUUACCAAUUGCAUGGGCAUAAACCAGAAAAGAUGGUAUGCUAAUAAGAAGAGUGUUAUCUGCAAACAAGUUAAAUUUCUAGGACAAGGGAAAGUCCCACAGCACAAUAAUUCGUGUUUCAACGGUCACUGAUAAUAAUGACAGGAAACAGAAAAUGGAACAAAAUACUGCAUAUAGCACCAUGAACCAACCUUUUCUGCUCCAAUCUUCGACUUCAUGCCAGCCACUAAAGGAAGAAAAUAAUAUGACGAGAAUAGCACUACGGUUAUUCUGAUCCUUGCACUUCAUGAACUUGAAUGAUUACCAUGAUUAAUACCUACAAGAAAUUUAUCAAGAUUCAAAAAACUAAGUACAUUGAGCUUCACAAAGAAAUUUUUGCAAUGAAAUUGUAAUCCUCAUUGAACCUAAACUUAGAGGUAGAAAGGGAAUGACCAAACCAAGCACCAUUCAACAAGUUAAAGGGCUAAAAAUUAACCCAAAAACAAUAUUAAAAGAGCCUUCAACAUUAUGUAACAAAAUCCUAAAGAUUGAUCAUUCUUAAACAAAUAAUUGAAUGCAAGAAGGAUGGAGAAUGUUUAGAACAAAGCAAAACAAAAGGCAGUACAGAAGUGAAAUUACCAUGACAGAGACAUUGCUGUUCGAUUUACGAGUAAAAUAUUCGAAUACAAACUUUUUGAUCUGAGGUCCUCCCGGCCACAUUGGCAGUCCCUCAGGAUUCCAAUUUCUUGCUUGUCAAUAGCACCCGAUUCCACUGUUAUUAGCCAUUUCUGAUAUGAGAUCAAGAUAAUACAAGGAAUACAUUGAGCAAGAGCUAGCUGCCCACCUAACAAAUAAAAUUAAAAAAUGUAGAUUAAUCAUUAAAUGGCCACUAUUUACUGACGUAUGUUAUCAGGCACUUAAGGAAAAUACAAAUGGAAUAAAAUAAACAAAACUCACAAAAAUUUUCAGCUGCAUCAAUUUGUUUUACUCUUUGUUGUUUCAUUUUUGUUUUAAAAGCAUAUGUAAGCAAUUAGUGAUACUGGAAAACUCGACAUCUUGCAUCUUUUGGUUCAAACAAGUAGCACCUGGAACAACUUCUGUCUUACCUUUUUUUCUUAUAUUUUUUUUUUUUCCUUUGAGUGCAAGAGGCCAGAGUUUGCAGUGAUGCUAAAUGCUAGUCUUCACCAGAACAGAACUUUGUUCUGAACUGGCAUCAAUUGACUGGUGAAGAAUCCCUUUCUUGUUGUGUAUUGGAUUGAUGCACAUUCUAGAGGAAUUACAAAGGUUCUUAAACAUAUAAAAGGGGCAAAACACAGGAAUGAGUAGGCUUUUUUUUCUUUGCAAAAUUUUGGUCUAAGAAAGGAACAAAAACUUGGAAUGCUAAGACCACCAAUUGUCAAAACAAAUGGUUUUCUUGUGCUUGAGCGAGCAAAUAGAGUCAAAGAGGCCAUGAAGUGGAAGGUCCACGAAGCCUGAAAUCCAGUAGCACCAAAGCAUAAAGCUAGCUGCUGCAAGUCUUUUAAAGAUUACAUCCAUAAAGACAGACUUCCAACUGAAUGUGGAAACAGGUCCUCCAAGUGCAAGACACUAAGAAGAAUGGAAAGUCUUAAAAUGCUGAAUUUUGCCAGGGUAAGCUAAAAUCUCGGAAGUCAAAAUGCAGAACGUGCAGGUGUUUUUGUCAUAAUUGUAGAUCAAGUCCAGCUAAAAUUUUCAUUAAUAUGUAACUAAAGUUGCAAGCUACCACAGCUCACCAUGUUCUGGUUUAUCUCUGUAUGCUAAAUUUCAUCAGCUAACCUCAUAAUCUUGCAAAACCUCAAAUAAUAUUUUAAAUCAUAAAACAACAUUCAAGGAAUGCAGUGUGAACUUGUGUCACCCAUAAUUAGUACUCUAAAACUCUCCUCUUCAAUUACAAGUUCCCGUCUUUCCCAACAAAUCCCUAGAGGAUUAUGGGACUAACAGUAAAUUCAAAUCCAAUAAUACAUACUCAGGUGAAAGCAAUAUUCUUCUACUCCCCUAGGCACAGAAUUCAAUUGAAGGCACUUAAAUCUCCAUUGCAAUUUUCAGACAUCACCCUCUUUCCAAAUGAUAAAAUCUAUAACUUUCUCAAUCAAAUUCGCUCAGAAAAAGGGGGAAAGGAGAAUAAAAUGGAGGAUGGACAUUUCUUUUAUAUCAGUAAUAACAACAGUACUUGCCAAGAGAAAAUCAAUCUAUCUCAAGGUAAACUAAACCAGAUUUAACAAUUCACUUCUAGUUAAUACCAAAAAAUGAUGCAGCUUUCCACUUUGUCAAUACCAAACCCAUCUUACAACCAAUCAGAGUCACAAACGGAACACAUUGUAUGCCUUCUGUGUAAGCAAAUUUUCUUACAAUACUAUUAUGGUAGUACACUUGUACUUUGUGUUGCCAAUGUUGUAUAUAACCAUAUCUUUCCUGAUCAGUAAAAUUUACAACUUUCUGAACCAAACUGAGUAACAGAAGGGGACAAAGAAACAGGAAAAUCAAAGAGAGAUGAACAUUCUUCUAUAUCGAUAUUAUAUGCAUUUCACUUACCUAGAAAAAACGGACCAUUUUAAGACAAACUACAUCAUAGAUAAAGAAUCAGUUGUACAUAACACUGCAAAAAGAUGCAGAUCUCUCUCUUCUUCAAAAUUAGAUCCAUUCUAUAUCCAAUCAAAAUCACCAAUAGACCCAUAAUAGAUAUAAUGUAUAAGCAAAAUUCUUUAAUCAAUAACAUAUCGAAAUUCACUUGUACUUUUGCCAAUGUUGUACUUUACCAAUACCUUCUAUCAUGAACCUUCAUCCUUCCAAUUGGAUAAUGAACCAGAAGAGAUAAAAACGCAAAAAUUUCAAAGCCAUGAAUAAUCAAGAAUAUUCCUCUCAUUCUCCUUAUAGUAACGGAUCAGCCAACUCUCCUCUCCCCUCUCAAAUUUUUAACACAUCCAAUCAAAAUCAUCAGCAAAUCCAGUAAUAUACAUGCUAUACGACCAAAACUCUUCCUCUAUUACCAUUAUAGCAUCUCUCUUGUACACUGCUGACAAGAUUGUACUUUGAUAUAUCAUGCACAAUAAAGCUCCAUAUUUUACAGCCAAAACCCCUCCAAAACGAGAAUUAACAUAGUAAAGUAGCAAAAGAACAAAAACCCACUAGUCCAACCAUUCAUAUAAUCAAGAUUAUUUUGUUUUCUCUUUUUGUAUUUUUACCCCCAAAAAAAGGUAUUUACCUCUGAAGAUACAUUAUUGCUUCCUCAAGAGCACGCCUGAGGCUGGAUUGCUGGUGGGCAAGACCUUCACAAGACUUGCAGUGCUUCCCAGGACAGUCAAUUCUGUUGCCCCAAUACACGUACUUCUCAGAAUCUCUAUGAUUCUUAGCAUUUUUGCUUUGCAUACUUGUUCCUGUGGUGGAAUAAAAGAAUCCUUUUGUGGAAAAGAAAGAAGAUGCAAGGUAGAAAACAGCAAUGCAGCCAAUCGUAAGAAUGACAAGAAUAGAAGAUCUGGGUACCGCUAGUGAUUUGUCCAAAUAUUUUUCAUUGAGGUUUCUUCAAUUUUAGUCAUGUAUUUUUUUUCCAAAAAUUCGUAUUACCAAUUAUUAUCCUUUUUUUUUAAAUAUACAAAUUAUUACCUAUUUGCGUUAUAGUUUUCAAAGAAAAUUUUGUUUUCUAUGAAACAUUUUUCAAUCACUUUUUACUUUACAUAUAUCAGAAUACAUUUCUCAAUCACAUUUUAUUUUAUAUGUAUCAAAUUAUUACCAAAUAUUUUUCUAUAAAAUUUUCAAAAAAAUCAAGUCAAAUGGUCUUUUAACCCAAAGUACACUUACCUUUUGUUAUUUAUGAGUCAUGACAUCCAAAACCCACAAUCGAAAAUAAUGGAAUAACUACUAGCCAAAUUACAUUCUAUUUAUAAUAUAUUUUUCUCAAAUGAAAUUUCUCCAAGUUAUGGAAACAAUUGGAUUCUAGCCUUUGAAUAGCAAAGUGUUCAUAUAUAAAUAAAAAAAUGCCAAUUUAAUUCUUGUAAGUUAGACAAUCUAACAUUUAACCCCUUGUAGCUUUUAAAUUUUAGCGUCGAUUGGGAGAUUUGGCUCCAUUAAAUUCUCUCGCCAUUUUUAUAAUGCACAUUUAGAUACAUGAUACGUGUUUUCAAUUGCUAAUAAGAGACAUUAUUAUUUUAAAUUUGACUAAUUAUAAUCCUUUAUUAAUAAACAAAGACACAUGUUAUACAUCCAAAUAUGCAUUGCGAAAAAUGGAGAAAGAAUCCACGAGAAAAGAGCCAAAUUUUCAGUUGGAGGAUUUUGACUCCCCUCCAAUGGAUUCUCUAUCCAUUUCCUACAAUGCACAUCUAGGUGCAUAACACGUGUCUUUAUUUAUUAACAAAGGUUAGGAUUAGUUAAAUUUAAAAGGAUCAUAUCAUUUUAUUUAUUAACAAGGAUUAGAAUUAGUCAAAUUUAAAAUAAAAAUCUUCUAAUUCUAAUCUUCAUUUAUUAGGAAAGAAGAUUUUUCUUUUGAAUUUGACUAAUUCUAAUCCUUGUUAAUAAAUGAAAUGAUAUGAUCCUUUUAAAUUUGACUAAACCUAACCUUUGUUAAUAAAUAAAGACACGUGUCACACAUCUAGGUGUGCAUUGUGAAAAAUUGAGAGAGAAUCUACUAGAUAGGAGCCAAGCCGUCGGUUGGAAGAUUUAGCUCCUCUUCAAUGGAUUCUUUUUCCAUUUCCUAUAAUGUACAUCUAGAUGCAUGACAUGUGUCUUUAUUUAUUAGAAAAGGACAUGAUCAUUUUAAAUUUGAUUAACAUAACCCUUGUUAAUAAAUAAAGACAUAGUGUCAUACAUCCAAAUGUGCAUUGCAAUAAAUGGAGAGAGAAUCCAAUGGAAAAGAGCCAAAGCCGCUGGAUAGCUGUACUUACAAAAAACACAUGUACCUAAAAUACACAUUUAUAAUAAACACCUCAUAGAAUAUUACUAAAAACACCCAAAAACAUCUAAAAAUAUCAAAAAAUUACUAAAAAAAACAAAAAAAAAAGAGAGCAAAAUACAUAUCAACACACACACCUCAUCAUCAUCACUCCUCCCCUCUCCACCAUUAUAUUCCUUUCCUAUUAGGAACCUCUAUUGAGCCAAUAGCCCUAUUGUCCAUCACCUAUCCCCACCUUCAUUGCAACUUCUCCCAUCCAUCCUCCUUUUCUUGCUCAUCAACCCCCUAACUUCUAUGAUGGAGAGGAAGGAGGUUUGGCGAUAAGAGAAAGGGGAUAGGGGUUUGACAAUGGAAAGGAAUGGCUGGUGGGGGAAAGGAAAGGAGUGAAUAGAGAGAGGACCUCAUGGUCAGGGGUGAGAGAGGGAAAGAAGAUGAGGACAGAGAAGGGAUGGCAAGUCCCAAGGGAAAGAGAGGUAUUCCAAAAAUAUCUCAAAAACUCUAAAAACAACUUAAAGCCUCACAUCUACAAAGUUUUUAAAAACAUAUUAUUAUCAUUAUCAUUAUCAUCAUUAUUGUUAUAAAAGUUAUCAUGUGUUUUGGUACCUUUGAAUGUUUGCAUUUUUAUGAUCUUAGUUUUUGUUAUCCUAAUUGUGCCCUUACUAAUUGAUGAUUAAUGUUCUAUAUUCCACUCUUAUAAUUUAUGAUGAUUUAAAUUCAUUCUAGAAAAUAUUGGUUGAUGAGAAGACAAAACAUUAAUUGAUGAUUAUGUUCACUAUAUUGCGUCAUACCAUUUUAAUUUAUAAAGAAAAAUCUCCUUAAACUUGUAAACACAAAAUGAGUUGAGAAAUGUUCAGCAAAUAGAUGAAUUAUAUUAGUUGUAUCCAUCCAAUUCAAACAAAAGGGAAGAAUUUUGUAUGUCACACCCAAUGUGACGAUUUUACUUUAGAACAAUGAAUCCUUGUUAGUUAGAAGUAUAAGAAAAAAAAUUGGUUUUAGUUUUUAUGAUUCCAAAAUUACUAUUUUCUUCAAUAAUAAAAAACAUUUUAUUGCAUUUCAAUAAUAAUCAAUAUCAAUUAAUAUGAUUCAUGAAUACGGUUACAGCGAUGAAACGUCCCUUUGAGUGAUGGCGUAUAAAAACUCAAAUACUCAUGUUAAAAGAUAGUCUUAUAACUGAAAUAGCACUAUACAUCAUUUACAAGUCAAUAUUAAUCGUAAACAAAAGAAAAAAAAAGAAACACUAAAAAAAGACCAAAACUAAAAGAAAAAAAAUAAUAUUACAUAAAGAAUGAUAAAUGUUACCCAAAAAAAUUGCAAAAUUCAAUUCAGUUGUCAUAAAAGAGAACAUUAAGAUCACCCAAAUCGAGCAAAAAUAUAAAAAAUAAAUAUAGAUGUAAAUGUAGAUACUUUUUCACUGGGAAAAAUUCACUUUUCGUUUUCAAACUUUGAGUUAGAGACACAUUUCAUCCUCAAAUUUUUAGACGCAUCACAUUUAGUAAAUAAAUUAAUUAUUUUGGGCCACAUUUAAUCCAAAAAUGGUAAAAUAUUCAAUUUGGAUGGAGAAAACUGAUGUGGCGUUGAUUUUGACUGAAAAUUUUUUUUUUACUUAACGGCCACGCGCCAAACACGUGACUUUCUCUAUACAAAUUAAGCAAUUUACCAUUUUUGGACUAAAUGUGGCAAAAAAUAAUUAAUUCAUGUACUAAAUGUGGUGCAUCAAAAAGUUUGGGAAUGAAAUGUGUCCUUAACUCAAAGUUUAGGGACGAAAAGUGGAUUUUUUCCCUUUUUCACCAAUAGUACCAGCUGUCUCAGUCAGAUUAAAGUGUUUGUGUAAUUGGUUUUAGUUUUCAAUGAUGUCCAAAGUAGUCUACAUAAAAUGACACAAAGAAUGACAAAAAGUGACAAAACGUUGAAAAAUUCAACUCGAAUGAUGGAUGUUUUGAUACCGAAAGUAUCAAUAGUCUUAGAUUACAGUGUUUGUAAAAUCUAGUCUUAGUUUUUAGUGAUGGCUUAAGUACUCUCUUCUCGAAUAAUGUUCAUGCACUUUUCAUCCUGGGUGAGUAACCAAUUUCAUCCUCAAAUUUUCAACAAGAACACAUUUAAUCCUCAAACAUUAUCAAUUUUGGUUAAUUUAGGACAAUUGACAGAAAACUCUUGAAACUGGAUAGAAAGUAGUCACGUGAGAAGCGUACUCCGUUAGUUUAAUUUAUUGCAGCCAAUAAAAUGGGGAAAACUGUCUUUUUUUUUUUAUUCGUGUCUCCUUCUUUCUUGAGUAUAUGCUCUAUUUUUUCUAGCCCUAAGUUUUGCAGGCAAAGUUUCAUCAUGCUCAAUACCUAUUAUUCUACUUGUAAUAGCGAAGGCCAUGGAGAACCUAGAGUGCUAAAAUAAGAAGAAGAAGUUCUGCUUCUUCAAUUUCAUCAACACGUGUCUGUAAUUGUGGAUUGAGGACAAAACUAACAACUUGUUAGCAGGGCAACAUUUUGAAAGAAGAUUUCUUAGUUGUUCUUUGUGGCCAGUAAGAACUCAUUGUACUAUUGACACACCAGUAAAACUUUGAUUUUAACAAAUUUUUGAAUUAUGUUUUAUUAGACUCGACAGGUGCAAGUAUUUUGAUAGGUUGAUGAGGAAAUUGGUCCAAGAGGAAGGGUACUUAUACCUGGUUUGCCAAAAAGGGUGAAUAAGUUGGAAGAAAUAGUUGAAAAGAUACGAAAGAGGGAGAAAAUUUUCAUCAUCAUUAUUGUGGUCCUAAUGGUGUUGUUGGCUUUGAGUUAGAGGAGAACAAGCAAAGCAAAUGGAAAGUGGGGCAAGCUGUUGCUAAGUCUAGUAAGAAAUGUUGCUAAAUUUGCCAGACUGAGAUUGUAUUUUGUGGAAACAAAUGUUUUGCUAGAAUGCUAGUUCGAUAAUCCUUUGUUUGUAAGAGGUAGGAUUUAGGAUAAACGUAGACUAAAGUAGCAGCAGAGAAGUAUGAAAACCAGCUGUUGAUUGAUCAAUUAUGUACAUUUUACGUAUGGAAGUGGACAUUUUCUGUUUGUAAGGAAGCUAUUUUGUGUAUGAAAACUUGGUGAAAUCUCAAUUUUGUCAUAUGAUUCUGGUCACAUAAUUUGUUCCCAAUUUCGUACAAUUGCAAUCUCAAUUCUGAUAAUAGUUACACGUAUAUAUUCUUAAUGAGUUGUAUCCUAUUGAGUUGGGGACCAUAAACAAAAGUAAAUCCAAAGUCAAUAAUGAGCUAAUCCCUAUUUUACAUAUAGUAGUGUUCAACAUGAUUACAAUGAGAUCCCUAUUGUGGGGGUGACCGAUCAUUUAAUUCCUUCUUUUGUAAGGACAUUUUUCUUCAAUGGGGGUUCUACAUGGAUCCACUUUCACCAAUCUUCUAGCUAGUAGCUAGCCGAUUGUCCGAUUGAUGUCAGUGAGAAUAUUGGAAAAGUUCUUCAUUGUUAAAAAAAGACAAAAGAAUUAAAAAGAAGACAAUUUUUUUCUUUUUUGUUGGCUGCAAUAAAUUACACUAAAGGAGCAUGCGUCUCAUGUGACUACUUUCCAUCCAAUUUCAAGAGUUUUCUGUCAAUUGUCCUAAAUUGACCAAAAUUGACAAUGAUUAAGGACUAAAUGUGCUAUUGCUGAAACUUUGAGGACGAACUUGGUCCCUCAUCCAAACACUAGGGAUGAAAACUGCAUUUCCCCCUAAUAUUCAAUAAUGGUAAUUGUGACAAAAAAUGAAGCAGCAAAUUUGAAUUAUGGAGACAAUUAAAAUAAUAAAGCACUUUUAUCUAAAACUGUCCUUUUGCGUUUUACUCCCAAUUUAUCAGUUAAUGAAAAAUUCUUGAUUAUCCACAAUUGUAAUUCCAAUUCCAAGAUCAUCAGAAAUAUAGAUACUACAAAAAAAAUUAUUAAUAUAGAUACUAAAAAAAAGGUGAUGCUAGAAUCAAAAAGUUGUUGUUGCUUAUGCUUAAUUUGUGAAAAUAAAGAAGGACAACUAGCUAACGAUUCAAAGGCAUCUACAAGAGUGAAAGAAAAAGAAAAAGAGAAAAAAGUUAGAUAAAUAUUUCAAAUUAUCUAAUCUAUUGACAUAGUAUAUGAUCAGAUGAUUAAUUGGACUAUAUAAUGAAUGUAAAAUAAAUAAUUUAGUAGGUCUAUAUGAUACUAUUGUUAAAGUAUGAUGGUUGUUCAUAAUAUCUAAAAAAGUAUUAUAUUUUAGGAUAAUACAAUCACAUGUAAAAUAUGUGAAGUAUUACUAGUUUACAAUAAAUUCUCUAAAAACACUCCAAAAAGAAAAUUUUAACUCAAACAGGCUCUCAAAUUUUGCCAGCAUGUGUUCUGGACCAACAGGUGAUUAAACAAUAAUUUUAAAUUUUAAUUGGGCUUACCUUCUUGAUUUUUCUGGGGGUGAUUUUAAGAAAAUUUUAUUGAAGCAUGUUCCUUAAUUUAUAAGUGUGUUUCUACAAUAAAAAUGUGGUUGAGUUUGUCUUCUAAAUGGGCAGAAUCUAAAAUAUAUAUUGUUCAAUAGAGAUUUUUAUGGUAUUACAUUACACAAGUGGUCACUGAAAGUUGCUAUAGAACUGCUGGAAGUUUAUUCUUACAAAAAAAUUAAGUCUUGACACCAAUAUAAAUACUAAAUAAUAAUCAAAACUAAAACAUUUUCACCCUUUAAAUUCAAUUCUACGAAGCAGAUAAGUCGCAAUGCUUAUUUUUAAUUAUUUUUUAAUAGUUCCUUAGUGUCGCAUGCUGCUAAUUUUGGUCAUAUAGUAUAGUGAAACGUAUUACCUUAAACUUUUACUAUUGCACAUGGCUUUACUAUUGAUCUAUCUUUAAAAAAAAAAAUUACAAGGAUCUUACCCUGUUUCAUAUUUUCCAAACACUUUUCCGGACUUGAUAAUUGUACAAAACUACUACGCUUUUCCUGACGAACUCAUGUUCUCAUAUUGGAUAUUGGUGACAUAUAGAACUUUCGUUCCUUGUGGAUAUUUUGAUUUCUAAUUAUGCUUUGGGAUGCUUGAUUGAAUUAUGCCUUCUAUAUGUGGGCGAAAGUUGCAAAGAAUUUUUGUAACAGCAUGACACUUUUCGGAUUACAAUAACAGGUUUUUCUUCAUUCAUUAUUGUGUCGAAUAGCUAUUCUUCUUAGCUGUUGUAAUUUUUUAAUUUAGUCCCAUUUCAAGGUUAUGAUGACAAAUUUGUCCAACUAAAAUAAGUUGAACAAACUGAAAUGCUUCCUUUUCACUUUACUGUGCAAUCCAUUGUAGGAGCCAAAAUGAGGACAGAGCAUAUGAUUCCAGACGCCAAAAUCCAAAUGUGAGAGAUUUUUUUUCUGGAAAGAGGAGAAAUUAGACGAACAGGAAGUAGUUAACUGCAUCUGAAGUUCCUUGAAGAAGGGAAACCAGAGCCGAAACAGAUGGGAGUCCAACCAAUAUAGUUCGAACGCUCAAGAAAACAUUUAAGUUAUAGAACUAAGUAAAGAUUUAUUAAGAUGUUAAGGUAGACAGGCUACACAAGCAGAGCCGCAAAACUUACUGCAGCUUUAAGCUAUUUUCUAGUCCUAAAUACAAUUUUAAUAUCUAUCAUCAAUUGUAAGAUCCUCUAAAAUUUUAACGCUGGAGGAAGAGAUACAAGGAGAACAAUGAGCAGGAGCAUACCACUGCAAGAAUAAGCUGAAAUGGCUUUGAACUGACAAAUUUCAGCUACUGCAUUGAAAGCGCCGCCCUGCGACUGCAAUUAACAGAUACUUCUUGCCCUUUACGUGCUAUAUUAACAGUCAAAUCUGUAAUCCUUCGAGAUGCUGCUAAUCUGUUGAUUAAGAGAAGCAUUUGAGGGAUCAAUCUGAGUAGUUGGUGGUUUCAAGCCUUCUGAAAUGUUCAUGAGGAACUCCAUGCAAAAGUCUCACAAAUCCCAAGAUACUGAGUUUUCCAUCAGAAUGCCGUAUCUAGUUCUGCAGAACUACAUGAACCGGGACCGACUGACUAAGUCCGAGAUUCUGUGUAGAAAUUAUAAUUCGGGAGUAGCAUUAAGAAUGCUAUCAUUUAAACAACUACUCAUCAAUCAUAAAGUCAAGUGUUAGGAGAUCCUAUUGCACAGGGCUACGAGGCAUGUACUUUGAUGCUGCAAUUAGCAUGAUGACACAAAGCAGUAUUCUCAACCAUUUCUAAGUAAACCCAUGUAAGAGUGAAUCUGUAUCAGUGGCUAGCUGCUUCUAGUCAAUGCAUUUUAUUACAUGUGGAUUACUAGUUCUAAAGCAAUUAGAGGGAUCACACUUCAGACGUAAAUUUGUACUUUAGAGUGAGAAUUCCCAGUUGUUCAUUUUAGCUAUGAUGGAUCUCUAACACAUCAAAUUCCUAUUGCCCCCUUCAAAUGACAUGUAACAAGUCAUGCUAAUUAGCAAAAUAGACAACCUUUUUAUGAGUUCCCAAAAAGUUGCUCCCAGCUUUCCAUGCCUUCAAGAUGGUGCACAUUUAUUGCAGCUGCACAGAACUCUUCAAAGUCCCAUUUCUGUGCUGAAGAGAACUCAUCUACGUAACAGAUGAAGUACAUUGAGGCAGUGGAGGUAAAAGUAUAUUUGUGGAAUUUAUACAGCUUGUUUUGCCGGUCCUUUUUUUUAAUAAUAAAAUGUAUCUAUGUAUUGUGUUAUGCCCUUUUCUUAAGCAAUGUUAUCUUUUAAUUUUAAAUAAUAAAUGUAUUCUAGAUGUGUCUGGAACUAAAUUCAAAAACUAUGAUUCAAAAACUCAGAGCCUAACAUGAUUUAAGUUCGACUCAAAUUUAAUUCAAACUUAACAUUUAGACCCAAACUCUAUCUAAUCUAAUUAAAAUUAGGUUUACCAUGCUUUUUUUUUUUUGGGCAAGCGGGUUGACAAUCCUAUUUAUAUUUCUUCCAACACUUAUUUUUCUUAAUGAAGAGUUUGUGGAAUACUAUAUUAAAAAUCUUUGUCCCUGCGUCGAAGGCAUAGCACUUUAAUCCUUCAUCACAAUCUUCUGGAACCUGCAGUAAUCUUUGCUACAUGGCAUCUGUACUUUUAUUGUUUUCCACAAGUCAAUGGUGAUUAUAAUUCUUGAUAGGAAAAGGAACCUGCAUUUUUUUUUAUUUUGGAAUUGUAGAACACGUAUUCUCUUUUUCUAAAUUACUAUUCUUUUGCCACCACCCAUUUGCGUGGCUCUACCCCGAUUUGAGUGUGGGAAAUGGUAGUUAUACAUUAUGCUCAAACUUCCAUGACUGCAAGUACACAGGUGGUAUAAGAGCACAAUGAAUAUCUGAAUGUCAAUUCCAUAGUCACUGGGAGAAUUAUGAGUUUAAAUUUUCCCUACUCACUGAGUUGAUCAUAACGAAUUGCCCAAAUUUGAAGAAAUUCUGUUCCGGAAAGUUGAAUAUACCAUUGCUUGAGAAAGUCACAAUGUGGGAAGAAAAAAAGAAUUUUAAAGCUCAUGUGGAUUUAAAGAUACUAAUAUCCUUGCUCUAUUUUCAACCAAUCCUUCUAAUUUUGUCUCACUUCACUAGACUUAUUUCCCUAAGAGUUGAGAAUGUAUUUUAAAUAAUUAUUGCUGAGCAUAUUAUAUUUUACAAGAUCAAGAGAUUUUAUCCUUUAUUGAUCGCAAUAUGACAACAUUAUCGGCAUAUUAAGGUACAUACAUUUCAAUAUGCUUACAAACAUCUUUUCCCUUUCUUUAUAAUUACAAGCAGGAGUACAUAUGCUUUUGAUCUAUAUGAAUAAAUCAAUGAAUUUUAUUACAUAACUGUGGAAUCUCAUUGAUUACAAAUUAUAUGAACUCUCACGGAAUUUUCCACUUGGAUGUUAAGGUAAAUAUCUUUCUAUAUGCUUACAAACUUUAUGUUUUUUCCUUUCUUCUAAUUUUGUCUUUACUGUUUUUUCAUUUUUUUGAGGUGAAUGGAAGUUAAAAUUACAAGUUGCAGUCUGUAUGCUUUUGAUUCUAUUCUCAUGUAGCAUUAUUCACUAAUUUUUACUGUCUAUGAACUAUACUUCUAUAUUGAGUUCACAUUAUUGGUUUUCUUAUUAACUUUUUUUUUUCAUCUAAAUACUACUAUUUUAGAGUAAAGCUAGGCUGUUAAAUCCUGUUUUUCUCUUGGUUUUGCUUUUCUUUUUCUUGGCAAUGUGCACACUUUUAUGAAUUAUUCUUCUUUCCAUUUUUAAAAAAAAAUAAUUUCAUAUAAAAAAAAUAAUUUCCGCUGUGAAAAAUUGCAGCCUUUAUAUUUCAGCUUUCAAAGCUCCAAUCUCUUCAAAGAUAUAAAAGUGAAUAUUCCGUGUAGGAAUCAGGGGGAAAAAAAACCUUGAGUAGAGAAAGCAAAAGGUAAACUAAAGUUGUAGGAGUGUGAUGGCAAAUUGAUGCAUCGUUGAGGCACAGACUCCAAUCCUUCCUAUUUGGAUUCACCGUCUUUUCAAGAAUAGAUUUGAUUUCUUUUAUUGGAAAUCUCAGCCUGCCCACUGGUUUGCGGAUGAUAUGAAAUAGAAACACGAUGGAUGACACCAUAUUUCUUCAUCAAUGCCUCCACUAUGCGAUUACAAAAGUGCUUUCCACGAUCACUAAUAAUUGCUCUUGGUGUACCAAACCUGACAAAAAUGUUAGAUUUGACAAAAUCUACCACAACCUUAGCAUUAUCAGUCUGAGUAGACUUAGCUUCAACCCAUUUGGAGACGUAAUCUACAACAAGAAGAAUAUAUACAUGGCCAAAGGAGGAGGGAAAUGGACCCAUAAAAUCGAUACCCCAUAUAUCAAAUAUUUCGCAAACAAGUAUCGGGGUAAGGGACAUUUGGUCUCUAUAUCCUAAGUUACUUGUCAUUUGACAACUCUCACAAGUCUUACAAAACGUGUAAGAGUCAUGAAACAAAGUAGGCCAAAACAAACCACAUCCUAAAACUUUACGUGCAGUCCUCUUGGGACCAAAAUGUCCACCACAAGCAUAUAAGUGACAAAAAGAGAGAAUCGAAGGAAUUUCCUUAUCUGAAACACACCUGCGAAUAAUUUGGUCAGAGCAAAAUUUCCACAAGUAUGGUUCAUCCCACACGUAAUAUUUAGCAUCACUUUUAAUUUUAUCCUUCUGAGCCCUAGAUAAAUCCUUAGGCAGCGUCUUAGUAACCAAAUAAUUAGCUAUAUUUGCAUACCAUGGAAUUAGCUUAUGAAUGGCAAGGAGAUGUUCAUCUGGAAAAUUAUCUCGUAGAGGUGUGGGUGUCUCACUUAUGACCAAUCGACUGAGGUGAUUCGCAACCAAAUUCUCAGCACCUUUUUUGUCCCGAAUCUCUAAAUCAAAUUCUUGGAGUAGAAGAAUCCACUGUAAGAGUCUUGGCUUUGCCUCCUUCUUGGUGAGCAAGUACUUAAGCACUACAUGAUCAGAAUAGACAAUUACUUUAGUGCCAAAUAAGUAUGAAUGGAAUUUCUCUAAAGCAAAAACUAUAGCUAAAAGUUCUUUUUCCGUUGUCGAAUAAUUGCACUGAGCACUGUCCAGAGUUCUUGAAGCAUAAUAAAUGACGUGAGACACUCUCCCAUUUUUUUGGGCCAAAUACAGCACCAAUAGCAUAAUUACUUGCUUCCAAUGCAUUACCAUGUACAUUCGUUUUGGACACUAUGACAGAGUUGUAAUAUUCAUGCCUUUGUUUUCUUUCACAGAAUAAAUGUGAUCGAAUAAUGUGGUCUAGUUAUUAUAGUCUUGACUGACUGGUGGACUGGGCUAUCGGAUAUGGAUGGAGAUCUCAAUUGGAUUAAUACAAUAAGUGUGAAACUUAUAUAAGCAUUAUGUUUUGCCCUCUUUUAUCAUUGCUUUUCAAAUAAUAAAUGUAUUAUUGUACAUAUUGUACCAUGAACUUUAGACAUAAAGGAUAAAUCUUUUCCUGUGAAUUUAAAGGUACAGAUAUCCUAAUUCUUUUUCGUCUCUGAAUUUGUCUUUCAGUUGCUACGCAUAAUUCUUGUGGAAAUAUCAUUCAAUUCCAUAUUUUUGCUUGGACAAGUUUCUCUUUGUGGCACUUUACAUAGUUCUCGUAGAAAUAUCAUUCAAUUAUAUAUUUGUGCUCUGACAGGUCUGUCUCCGGCAAAAGAAUGAGGUUUUUGUUUAGUUAUUUUUAAGUGAGAGUGUAAUAGAGGUUUGAACCACUAGGAUUGGCUCAGUAGCCAUAGAUGUAUUCCUAUGUGUAUAUUUUUUUUGGCUACCAUAUGCAUGAAUGCUUGUAAAUAUGAAUGCAUCAGUUACCAUUAGUUUGUUAGAGAAUAUUAUUAAUUGACUAGGUUCAAAUUUUUAGGCAAGCCAUCACGAUUUUUUCAUCUAAUGUAAGGUAAGCCCCAAAAAGUUUUUCACCGACGUAUACUAACUUCCAAUGGACUAUAAUUCACAUAUGUGCUAGCGGUAAAGGGAGUUCUCGAAUUGUUUAAACCAUUUAAUGCAACACUGCAUUUUCCUUCCAAGAGGAAGAAGAAGCUCUACAAGCAUUUCCAAAAACCAUAUAAGAAUGACUUCUUACAUGAACAUGAAAUCCUGUGGCAACCCACUUGAAAGCAUUCUUCGAAGAUGUCAAAUAUUGCUGAAACUCCCUUGCGCUGCAUUUCAGAAGUUACAUACAGUGUAAAAGAAAAUAUUAAGCCACAAUAUACAACCCUGAGCUCACCUAAGAUGGAAAAUUUUCAUUGCUCAUAAUUUGUCCAAAGAGCCGCAAGAAUUCAACACGAGAUACAUUAUCCCCUCCAGUUGAAAUCAACAUGCGAUUCUGCUCGUCAUUUUGCUAUCUAACAAGUGAUCUCGAAGGGAACGACUCUUUUCAGAUCUAUUAUGAGUAAAAAGGAUCAGCAUUAAUCUCUUGUGUCCAUUGUAUAAACAGGUAUCUGCCAUGUCCUUGUACUCUUUUUUGGAUCAUCUGUGAGGCUCAGAUCAUUGUCGUCUUCCAUCAUGAUUAGUCUCUCUACCUUAAAGACUUGAUAGUUGUUUUCGACCACUGGAUCCAAAAUGGUGCUGUUAUUUGAUGGGUUUGCCAAUUUGUACCUGAAAUUUAGGAAAAGAGAUGUAUUGGUCAUCCCAAGAUCCAUUAAACUUGACUUCAUUAUAAGGUCAACCACUGUGUAAGCAACAAAAUUACAGAAAUCAUGAAGACAAUAAUAACCAAACAGUAUUACUAAACAACAUAAGCAAAGCUUGGUGUAGAGAAAAAAAAAAAAAAGAGGAAAACAAGGAUUGGGAAAAUUAUCUUACCCUAUGUAUUUACGGUGUAGUUGAAUAGUCAUAUUCAUAUAAAAACCAAAAUGUGGCUUAUUUAGAACGGACCUUAAAUUUGGCUUAGAAGGCCUCCAACAAGAAACACAUCCCAUUAAUGCAAACCGCGCAUAAAAUACAGAGGACGAAGGACAAUAGUCUUCUCACCCAAAAGACGUCUUAAUCAAGAAAUUUUUUUUUUCCCCGAGUUGAACCAAAUAGGAAAGUGAAAUAACAUUAGGAUCGUCAACCAACUAAGAAGGUGGAUAACCAGAAAGUCCUAAAAGUAACUUCAAGACCUACAGCCAAUUUUGCUUUAACACAUUGACUACGCCAACAGGAUGAUAUUCUAAUUAAAGAAAAGGCACCUGCCGAAACAAAUCCUCAGCAAGCUUCUCAUCCUUUGCAGCUGAUUCUCCUGCUCUUAUCUGUCUCUCUUCCCCCCCCCCCCCCCCCUUUCCUAAUCAUUGGAUAUUGGUUGUGUAUUAGAAUUAUGUGUAAUUCCUAGUGGAUGUUUUAUUAAAUGAAGUUUGGAUUGGUUUUUGUGAGGAUGCUUUAGUUUAUUCUUAAUUCUACCUUGCAUAAUUUGAGAAGACCAACGUCAGUGUCUCACGUUUUCUGCUAAUAAUCCUAUUUCCUCCGUUGACAUCCACGAUUAUGAUGAAAAGGAAUGGUUUGUUACCCUUAUAUGUUUAGAUGGUAGAUUAUUUGAGAUGUUAUUUGAAAUAAUUACUAGGGAUAAUUUCAAAAACCUUUCCUGAGAUUGGUUAUAAUAUCACUCAGCUCCUCUAAAGUUUUAAAAAUCUCACUUACCUUCCUUGUCAGUUUGACAAGACUAAAUAUUCCUAUCAAAUGUCACAAAAUUCACAAGAUUAUCCUUGCUCUUAAUAACUAUAUAACCAAAAAACAAAAUAAAAUAAAAUUUUAAACCAAAAUAUCUAGAUUAAAAAAUUGAUAUCUAAUAAUGGUCCAUGUUUCUUUAUACAGAGGUCAUUGUAGGAUAACAAAGAAUGUGGGUAAAUUAAAUCUAGUCAAAAUCAACUAUUUAGAAGGAUGUUGGUGAGUAAUUGACACUUGAAAAAUUUUGUGAAUAAUUAUAAGGAAGUCAAGAAAUUUAAUUAGGAAAUGUAUUUUAGUAUAUGAUGCAAUUUAAGUGGUAUUGAAACUAAAAUAAUCUCUUCAUACAUGUGAAUUUUGAAGAUGUAAAUUUUGUUCUUGUUCCAAUACAACAAAAUAAAUAGUUCAAGUCAAGAAAUUUAUACCUUAUAAAUAUUUAGUUUAAUUUUAUCUUUUAUUGUUGUUGUAAACUUCAUAAGUAACAUAAUAUGAGAGUAUUGUUGAAAUAAAAGUUUUAUCUUUUUGUAUUUCCUCUAAAGGAGCUAAAAUAUUACAAAAAAUGUCAAUCAAAGGGAGGUAAGUGAGAUUUUAAAAACCUUAGGAAAGUCAAGUGAUAUUAUGAAAAACUCUAAGGGUGGUUUCUGAAAUUAUCCUAAUUGCUAUUGCACUUUUUGUGAUAUAAUGUAUAUGAGAUAAAAAUAUGAUGAAAAGAUAAAAACGGUAUGAUAAAAGAUGUCAUUAUGCAAGCAAAUAAUUUUUCGACAAAUAAGUGCUAUCCAGACACAAACAUGUUAUCCUUUCCUAGUAGUCCUUUAAGGAUUUUCAUUUACCUCAUUAUUCUUUGGGAAAAGAGUUCUAAUGGCCCUCCAACUCUUACCCAGGUAAAGUUUUGGCCCUCCAACAAUUAAAGAUAAAUUUUUGGCCCUCGAUCUAACAAAGUAGUAUUAGUGGCCCUUCUGUCAAAUCCAGCAGUUAACUAUGACAGGAAAUUUCAUCUCGUGAGAUGCGCCACCAAAUAUGAAGGGCACUAUAGUCUAUUUGCCAAGACAGAGUAAAAACAGUUUCACCAACAAUUUUCCUCCAACAAUUUCCACCCUCUUUGCUGUAAAACCCUAGUGCGACUUAAAUCAGAGUUCUCAAUCCGGAUGCUGUAGUGAAAGUGGUAAUUGCGGCGUGGGAGGGGUUGUAUAGGCAGAAAUGAGUGGCAAAUACGGAGGAAAGAUGACUACUUUGAUCCGUACCUUGUUUACGGUAAUUGAAAUUGUUGUUUACUAACUCAUUUGGGUUUAAGAUUUGUUUAUAUGUUUGGGUAAUGUGUACUGGAACUUAUUUGUUUACUAGAUGCAUGUGUAAUGAGACUUAUUUGUUUAUAUGUUGGGGUAAUGGUGCUGUUGGGAGGCUAAGUGGUCCAAUUUGUGGUCCUACUUUGUUUGUUGUAAAUUGACAAUAUCGGACAAAAGAGGUUGUUUUGAAAGUGAUGUAUUUUAAUGGCUGAAAAGGGACACUUUAUUUGUUUAGGGUAAUUUUUUUUUGGCUGAAUACUUACCAAUUCAGUAUUUCAUUUGUCAGUCUCUAUGUGUUUUUUGUUGACUGUUUUAUCCCAAUUGCCAUUGUAGAGACUGAUUUUGAAUGGUUUACUAUUCGGAUGCAUCAUGGGGGUAGAAUUAUGUGGGAACAGUAUGUAUGGUAUGCUAAUGGAGAGGUGGACUAUGUAGAUGUUUGUGAUGCCGAAAGAAUGUCAACUAUUGAACUAAAUAAAAUGGUGGAGAAAAUGGGACAUCGUAAUGCUGCCAUAAUGUAUUACUACCUUGAACCAAAUAAGGAUCUAACAAAUGGUUUAAGAGAGUUGUGCACCGAUGAUGACGUUAACAAAUUUUGUGCUUGGAUUUUAAGUACAAGGUAAUGGAAGUCUAUUGUAACCAUCUAACAGCUGAAGAAAUUAAUAGUUGCAAGUCUCCCAAAGUGAUCCAACCAGCAGAAAAGAAGAAGACUGGUGUUUUGAUAGAAGAGUUGGAUAGGGAGGGUAGUGUAGUAGAGGAAUCUUUUUCUCACCUAGUUCCUAAGAGGAGAUAGUUAAUUAGAAAUUUAACUGGAGAACAGAGUCAAAGUAGAAGAACAGCCAAGAACCAGCACAUUGCUGAACAAAGUGGUGAUGCACAAGCAUCUAUUCAUGAGGAGCAUCAUGUAGGGUCCUUAAGUGAGCAGCAACAUGUGCAGCAACCUGAGCAACAUGUAGGGUCCUUAAGUGAGCAGCAACAGGAGCAGCAACCUGAGCAGCAACAUGUAGGUUCUUCAACUGGAUGACAAAAUGGUGAUGCACAAGCAUGUCAUAGCCCGCAGCAUGUUGGAGAAACUGAUACAGCACAAGAAGGAUUGAGGUGUCAACAGCCUAAUGAAGAUGAAGGAAAUGGAGGAGAUGAUGAAGAUUCUGGAUCAAAAAAUGAAUGUGACAGAUUCAGUGGUGAUGUAGAAUAUUGUAGAGAUGAGGAUCUUCUUGAUGAUUUGACAUUGGAGCCAACUCAGUGUAGAAGCACAUUAAAAGAGAUGCAAACUAGAGGACCUUCACAGCAGGGAGGAGAAGCAACUGAGCAGGCUACUACUGAACAUUGUACUACUGAACAGGCUACUACCUAACAAGCUGAAACACAAAAGUCCCUAGAACAACAGCAAACACAGCAGAAAAAAAAAAGUAAGGCGAAGAAGAAAAACGUAACAGCAGCAGACCCAAGAUUCUGCACCAGAAGUAGAUGCGUUGGCAGAAGAUACAAUUCCAGAUCAUCUAAGUAGUGAUGCUGAUUCAUCAGAGGAAGAUCAAAAAGCUGAACAGUAUGCUGGUAGGUAUAAAGAUUUUUCCUGAAAAAAAUUUAGGAUUGAUACAAGGUUCGAGUUGGGUUUGAAAUUUGAGUCAAGAGCCAAUUCAAAACUGCUAUCCAAGAAUAUAGAAUUAAGAUGGGAAAACCAGUGUACACAAAGAAGAAUGAACCAAAGAGGGUGAGAGCCAGGUGUAAAGAUCCAUGUCCAUGGAAUGUGUUUGCCUCAAUUGAAAAGGCACUUGGUACAGCAGAUUUGGUGUGAAGACAAUGUAUGACAAGCAUGAAAACUGUAAUCAUGCUUGGAAAAAUAAAAAUUUGAAGGCCAAUUGGUUGUCAAAUAGAUAUAUGGAGAGAAUUAGAUCAAACACUCGCAUGCCAACUCGGAAGAUUAGGCAAACAGUGCAUGAGGAGUAUCAAAUCCAAAUUUCUAAAUGGAUGGCUUCUAAUGCGAGGAAAUUGGCUGUCAAAAUGAUACAGGGUCGGUUGAAGCCCAAUACAAGAAAAUUUGGGAGUAUUGUACUGAGAUAAAGAAGACACAUGAAGGGAGUACAAUGGAGAUAAUGUUUACUCCAUUUAGAGGAUUAGGGGGUAAUCCUAAAUUCAUGAGGUUAUACUGCUGUUUAAGACCACUGAAAAAGGGAUUCAAGGAUGGCUGUAGGCUAAUAAUAGGCCUGGAUGGUUGCCAUCUAAAAGGGAUUUAUAGAGGACAGUUACUAACUGUCAUUGCUGCAGACCCGAAUAAUGGAUGGUGGCCUAUUGCCUGGGCAGUUGUGGAGAGAGAAACAACUGAACAGUGGACUUGGUUUCUCAAAUAUCUAAGUGAAGACUUGGAAAUCAAAAUCAGUGCCACUAUACCUUUAUAUCAGAUCAGCAAAAGAUAUGAUAUGAAACUUUGAAAUUCAAAAUUUGAUUCAAAUAUGGUAGAAGCUAACAGUGUAUCAUGAUUUCAUUUUAGGGGCUAGACAGGGCACUUAGUGAAGUUCUACCUGGAUAUGAGCACAGGUAUUUUAUCAAGUUUUUUUUUGCAUUAUAAUUUUUCAAUUGUUUAAUAACGACUUAAACUACUUUGUAAAAACAGGUAUUAUGUGCAACAUAUGUACUGCAAUUUCAAGAAAAAGCAUUUUGGUUUGGCUCUUAAAAAUAGGAUGUGGAAUAUAACAUGUUGCACAACAGUGGAAAUGUACGACAAAGCUAUGGAAGAACUUUAAACUUUUGAUAAGAAUGCAUAUGAAUGGGUCAAGAAAGCUCCUCAUCCUCGACAUUGGUGCAAAGCAUACUUUCCAACUCACGUGAAGAGUGAUAUGAUAGUGAAUAACCUAUGCGAGUCCUUCAAUGCCCAUAUUAAAGAUGCAAGGGACCAACCUAUCAUUACAAUAUUAGAACUGAUAAGGGAAUAUCUUAUGGACAGGAUCCAAAGAAGACGAGCUGCAAUGGAGAAAUAGAAGGGCUUCACUGGACCUUUAAUUAAUGAGAUUGCUCAGACUAGGGUCAAGCAUUCAAGUCAGUGGAUGCGCAUUUGAAAUGCACUGCAUGGCUAUCAAGUCAAGGGUCCAAGAGAGGCCCAAUUUGCAGUAGAUAUGCAAAAAAAAUAUUGUACUUGCAGAUUAUGGGAGAUUAGCAGAAUUCCCUGCUAUCAUGCAAUUGCUGCUAUCUUCAUGAGAGAAGAGGAUCCUUACAAUUAUCUGGAUCGUUCUUAUAGUAGAGGCCUCUUCUUCAAGAUUUAUGAGAAUGUUUUGCAGCCAAUUAGUGGUGAGGAUCAUUGGCCCCUCAUUCACCAUGCCUGUGUUGGAUCCACCAAUACCAGUUACUCAACCUGGUAGGCCUAAAAAGGCCAGAGAAGGAUGUAUCUGAGGGGAGGAUCAUGGUAGAGAGUUGAGAAGGAGGAUUGUCAUUCAUUGUAGAAAAAUGCGGUGAGGUUGGUCAUAACGCAGCUACGUGCAAGAAGCCUCUCAAUGAAGAAGCACAACAAGGUUCUAACAAGUCAUUCGAGACUCAACCGAGUAAUCAGCAAAGGCAGCAAUCAGUAGCAAAAGAGAGGACAGUAAGUGCAUGCAAUUACUGUUAAUUUUUCACUAUUCUACAUCCAUCAUGUACUUACACGUGUCAUUUACAAUUUUGAUAAGAAUAAGGACCCAUGCCAGUCUUCUCAAAAUUUGCAACAACAAACGCAACAGGCUAGCGAUGAACUGGACAGCAACAUCCACAACAGAGCCAACAACAUCAUCAUUCACAGCGAAGAAAAACUCAGCUACAAAGCCGCUUACUGAUGCAAAAAAGGGAGCCAUCAUGCGAUCUAUACUUAUUUGGAUAAAGAACUCCCAUUCACAGUUGGCAACUGGAAGGGGAGAUGGAGUAGAAGAGGCAAAAGCAGAGGAGAGGAGAGGAAAGACAAGGCGAAGAGGAAUGGGAGAAGGAAAACCACUAGAAGAGAAACUCAGCCAUGAUAGACCCAUUUCUUUUUGAUAAACUCUUUUUGUCUUAUAUAUCUGUAAACUGAUGAUGACAAUUCAUUACCAUAUCAGAACAUGUUUUUGUGUCUAGCAGUUCUUCUCUGUUUUUUUUUUUUUUUGUCUAGCAAUUACUUGUUGGUAACAUGCUGAUUCUACUUUGUAUUAUAGCAGUUCCCUUUUGAUGCUCACAACAUGGCUUUAUCUGCUUCUUUUUCUUACACCAUUAUUAUGCUUUUUUCUAAGCACAAUACCAAACCAAUUCAUUGAGUCGAACAAAUGAACUACAACAUUUUUAUUAAUAAAAGAGAUGAGCAAAUAUUCAUUGCAACCAGCACAAACACAGAUUUCAUUACAAGCUUUGCGGAUACAUCAUACAACUAUAAAUAAAAAAUUUACAUUAAAAUGAACAAUUUGAAUUAUUUUCUUCCCCUGCAAACUUCACUUGGAAAGGGCCAGGUGUUUGCAAGCACCUUGUAUUUGCCGAAAACUGACAAGUUUCCAUUUUUUGGCGCCCAACUCAUCAAAAUUAAACAAAUCAAUAUCCAUGUUAAAAAAAGCAAUUUGACCAGUAACUUAUUAACCCAUUUCUUGCUGCGAAUGUCUUUCUCCAAUUCUUUAACUUUUUCCUUCAAUUUUGUUACCUUCUUUCAUUUCUUCUUGCUAUUUCUUCGUAUUCAUCUCUGUCCUUUUCAGUUGCAUUAAUCUUUCGAAGAAGGUUAGGUAUAAUUUCUGUAGCCCGUCGGCACAUCUCCUCAUCGAUCCAUGCCCAAUAUCUGCAGGCACCUUCUACACACAUAGCAAACCUUCGCCCAAGAUUUUUUGAAGUCCACGAAAUAAUCACCAUAGUCUCUUUCUCACAUCUGCACACCGAUAGAGGGGAACUGUUCAUUCUUCGCAUUUUCAGCUCCAACUUUGACUGGAUGGAGAUUUUUGUUGCUCUAACUUAAGGUAAGAGAAGAAGCAACCUUUUUUACUCUCUCUUGCUUGGUCAACCAUCCUUUAGAGACUAUAAUGCCCUUCAUAUUUGGUGGCGCGUCUCACGAGAUGAAGCUUCCCGUCAUAGUUAACUGCUGGAUUUGACAGAAGGGCCACUAAUAUGCUAGUUUGUUAGAUCGAGGGCAAAAAAUUUAUCUUUAAUUGUUAAAUGGCCAAAACUUUACCUGGGUAAGAGUUGGAAGGUCAUUGGAACUCUUUUCCCUUGUUCUUUUCCUACCAUGCAAGAUCUUUAUUACUACAAAAGUGAAGAAACCUCGUAAACAACAUGACAGUUUUCGGAUUGGAAUGCCGUUUCGUUUAUAUUUUUGUAUCAUUUUAUCCCUAUUGCAGCCGUCGCUAUUUCUAAUUUAGUCGCAUUUCAGGUUUAUGAAAAAUUUGUCCACCCUAAAACAAAUUUUAGUGAAACAAACUGAAAUGCCUCCUCUUCAUUUUAAUGUAUAUUCCAUCGAAUGACUCAAAGAUCAGGAGAUAACAUAUAGAGUUUUUGUUUUAUUUAUUUUUUCUGGAAUGCAUAACUUAUAAUCCAAAGAAGAGGAGAAUAUAAACAAAGCAAAAAGUAGUUAACUGCAUCAGAAGUCCAUGGAGAAGGGAAAGCAGAGCUGCAACAGAUGGGAGUUCAACGCAUUACAGUCCGAAAGCUCAAGAAUACAUUCAAGUCAUAGAACAAAGUGAAGAUUUAUUAAGAAACUAAGGUGGACGGGGUACGCAAAGGAUACACCCAAAGCCGCAAAACUUACUACAGCUUUAAGCUGUUUUCUAGUCCUAAAUACAUUUUUGAUAUCUAUCCUCAACUGUACAAUCCUCUAAAUCUUAAAUUACCGAACGCUGGG
rnacentral:lncRNA from 1 species